rnacentral:lncRNA from 10 species
AGCUCACUCUGCUGAAGGGCUGAGAGGCGCACCCGGGCGGCCAGCUGGGCUCGGAGCGGAACGGGGUCAGGAUGGACGAGGACGUGCUAACCACCCUGAAGAUCCUCAUCAUCGCCUGCUCUUGAGGUUCACAGAUGAUACGUUUGAUCCAGAACUUGCAGCAACAAUAGGUAAGCCUGUGUUUAAAAAUUCUAUAGAAAUGGCCAGUAUUUUCUUGCCUUUGGCCUUUUUAAUCUAAAUCCUUCUACCUUCCUCUCACCACCCCACUGCCUCCAUGUCUGUUGAAAUCUUAUUUGUCCUUCAAGACUUAAUUUUGGUAUCAUUAAAUCUUUGAAGCCUUUCUAGAUCUUACCAAGAGAAAAUAACUUCCUUAUCUGUUGUCUCAUGAUACUUUAUUAAAACUGCUAAUGUGAUUAUCUGUACACACAUUUCUCUCCUAUACUAUGGAUUGUCUUUUAUUUUGUAAUAUACAACAGUUAUUUGAAUACUUAUUGUAUGCCAGGGACUGCUACUAAGAGGAGGGGUUAUAAUAGUGAAUAACAAACUUGGUCUCUGUCAUCGUGGACCUAACAGAGUGUGUUAAUUUUGUAUGUUCAGCAUUUGCUACAGUGUUUGACGUGUAUUCUUAUCUUCACAUAUGUAUUGAUACUAGUUAUUAAGGAUUGUUAGGAGCAAUGAUACUUAAAUGCCUUUUAAGGAUAAGAUUUAGAUCGCCUGAAAGUGGUUAGUC